rnacentral:rRNA from 1 species
GACGAACGCUGGCGGCGCGCCUAACACAUGCAAGUCGAACGGAGACUGUUCAUCGGAAGUUUUCGGAUGGAAGAAGGACAGUUUUAGUGGCGGACGGGUGAGUAACACGUGAGCAACCUGCCUUUCAGAGGGGGAUAACAGUUGGAAACGACUGCUAAUACCGCAUGACAUUAGGGGAGGGCAUCCUCUUCUAAUCAAAGGAGCAAUCCGCUGAAAGAUGGGCUCGCGGCCGAUUAGCUGGAUGGCGGGGUAGAGGCCCACCAUGGCGACGAUCGGUAGCCGGACUGAGAGGUUGAACGGCCACAUUGGGACUGAGACACGGCCCAG